rnacentral:rRNA from 1 species
AACGAACGCUGGCGGCGGGGUUUAGGCAUGCAAGUCGAGCGAGAGAAGCGCAAGCUGAGUACAGCGGCGUAAGGGUGAGUAAUAGGUAGUCAACGUACCGGGCAGACGCGAAUAAUUUCCCGAAAGGGAGUUGUAAUGCGCGAUGAGAUCACGGGCGACCACCGGUGCAUGGGAGUCAAAGGUCGGGGAGUCCUUCGGGACCUGGCGGCUGUCUGAGCGGACUACCUCNGAUUAGCUAGUUGGCGGGGUAACGGCCCACCAAGGCGAUGAUCAGUAGCCGGCCUGAGAGGGUGUCCGGCCACACUGGGACUGAGACACUGCCCAGACUCCUACGGGAGGCUGCAGUCGCGAAUCAUUCACAAUGGACGCAAGUCUGAUGAUGCCACGCCGCGUGCGGGAUGAAGGCCCCU